UACAGAUGUAUCACAGUCACGUGAAGUAUUGGGCGUCUCCUCUCUCCUCCCGUCCCCCACGACAAAACAAGAAAACCAGAGCUUUUCUUCUGAUAUGGAAUGCUGACUGUUUAUGUGGGCUUGCUGUGGAGGGGCAUUCCUUUUGUGCGGCAAGUGUGGGGAGUGGAAGAAUGUGUAUGUGUUGGCGAGGUUGGGAGGGUAGCUCACAGAGAUGGAAAGGACAGAGUGCUGCUCUGAUUCGCAUUUCAUUCCAGGAGUGUCUCCUCGUAAGUGAUGAUGCUAUAGGGAUGCAGGGCAUUGAUGAAGCCCCCUCCCUGCUGGCGGCCCCAAGCAGCCUCCCUGGUCCCUUGUGGGGGGACAGUGGCGAAGGAGCCUUACAGAGUGUUACAGACUGAACAUCCCUGUCCCCAAACUCACAGGCAGAGACAUCAGAGCUCGCUCUCUCCACCAUGUGAAGACACAGCAAGAAGGUGGCUGUCUACAAGCCAGGAAGGGAGCUCUCACCAGACCCCGACCAUGCUAGCACCCUGAUCUUGGACUUCCAGCCUCCAGGACCUGGUACGAGGCCACCCCCGUGCUGCUGAAUUAGCUACAGGAUCAAUGACACAAGCCUGACAGCGUCCCCAGAGAACCCAGGGGCGCCACCCAGCCCUGUGCCCAGGGAAGGGGGUGCACGUUUAUCGAGCUCCUGUUUGUACCAGAGACUAGGGACCAGAGUCUUCAUUUAAGUCACCCAUUCUCAAAAUGGGGUCCUCACAAAGCUCCAGGAAUUUUUCUUUACACAAGCUGACCAAAUGCAGAAACAGACAUGAGAAUCCAGCUGGCUUCGGGUACGCCAGACCUUAAAGAGAUCUGCACUAUUGUAAAACGAUGCCUUUCUUUGCGCAGAAAUUGUGUUGUUUUGGAAA